rnacentral:lncRNA from 1 species
CCACAGUGAGUACAACUAUCUAGGUCCUGGAGGGGCGAACAAAGUUGAGUGGGUCAGCAAAACAAUGCUUAUAUAAAAACCUUUAUCUUUGAAUAUACUAACCCCUCGCCGUAAAACAAGUAUAGUUUCCUCAAAACAUACUACGUAAGUAUGAAAUCUAGUAUAUCAGCCAUAUAACCAGAAAUAUGCCAAGUAAAUGAUGUAUCAUAUGCCACAAUAAUAAUCAUGUGAUAAUCAAUAUAACUAAGUGCUCAUCCAUCUAAGCUGACACAAAAGUUCGAACAGAUGGUUUCUGACACGAAUAGGACUGGGUGUAAUCAAUAUGCUCUAGUACUACGAUCACGUGAAACUGGUGCAAAAGCACAUCACAUACAAGUCGGAUCGCCCAAUGCAAUCUACCCGACAAGACUGGCACCUAAACUUGGAUCCAAGGUGAGCGAACGGUGCGGAUGUGAACAUACACGUGAAGUAAUGGCCCUGGCCCUGGGGCGAGUACUAACACCGGGUGCAGCAAGAUGAGCAUGUACACAAGCACGUAUGAAUGCCAUGACAGUAAUAUCACAACCAUAUAGCAGCAUUUAUCACAAUUUAUAUCACAAUAAUGAUACUAGGCAAAAUAGGCGUAAAAGUAACAUAAAUAUGCAUUUAUGGAAACUAUAAAUAUAUAUAGGUAUAAAACAACUGCCCACUCACAAGUACGUCGCUGAGUCGUAGCCCCCGAGCCUAGCUUGGCCUCGAAAAUCCUCAGAAUAAGUUUCCCCUAUAUGUGAAAUAAUUAAAUAACAUUAAUUAAAGCACAUAACGGAAACCUAAAUAAAACGCCCAUAGUUUGCUCAAACCUAGGGUGUAAAUAUAUGAAAUCGAUCUACUCGACGACACGAACGCGCACGUACCAACCACGCGCAGGCCGGAGGACAGACGCGCCCCCACACGCCGCCUAAAGGUUCGGUCCACGCGCACCCACGCGCCCCCGCGAGUACACUGUACUCGCCUUCUUUGCGAAAAUCUGCAGUUUUGCAGAUUUUUGGACCAACUUCCAAAGCCCAUAACGAGCUCGAUUCUCAACCAAAUUCACUUCUACAAAAGCCAAAUUAAAGCUAGGAAUGUGAUCUACCAACCCCAAUUUACAGAAAGUUCAAAUAUAGUCCGUGUUGUUCAGAAAUGUGGUCUGAAAGUGGCCAAACGACCACGGCUGAAAUUUUCCAGAAAACUAAAAUUUUCUUCCUAACUUCCAGAGUUCAUUUCUAACUCGUUAAUUAACCAAACUCAGUGAUUCAAAAGCCAUUUUGAAGUUAGGAAUGUAGAGAACAAGUUUGUACCUAGAAGAAGUCCAGUUAUGGUUGAGGUUGACCAGAAAAAUGGUUUGAAAGUGACUAAAUGGCCACGGUUCUUGAACGAAAAACUUCGGGUUCUCCUUCUUCUCGAGUUUCUAGGUAAAACCACACUUUCAAAACACAAACAAAGGAUCAAUAACAACCCAUAGAAGUGAAAUGAAGGUUCUAAGGGUUUCUUAAGGCUUACCUUAGCCAUGCAUGGCUUGAAAACCGUAGUAUCGAACUCGCCGAGUCGGACCUUCCGAGUUGGUAAGUUAAAACUCGUCCAAACUAGAUUUCAAGGACAUGGUUGUGAUCGUGGGACUGAGAUGAUCACAAUGGUGUAAUUUGUUUUUCACGUUUGUGAGUUUUGGUGUGUUUUGUGGUUGUUGCAAAGAGGAAGAAGAAGAAGAAUGUGGCGUGGGAGAGGGAGAAGAAAGAGAGA